UACGUAGGGGGCAAGCGUUGUCCGGAAUCAUUGGGCGUAAAGCGCGUGUAGGCGGUUCGUUGUGUCGGCGGUGAAAGCCCCGGGCUUAACCUGGGAAUGGCCGUUGAAACUGGCGAACUGGAGUGUGGCAGAGGGGGGUGGAAUUCCGCGUGUAGCAGUGAAAUGCGUAGAGAUGCGGAGGAACACCGAUGGCGAAGGCAGCCCCCUGGGCUAACACUGACGCCUCAGGCACGAAAGCGUGGGGAGCAAACAGG
rnacentral:rRNA from 1 species